CCCCAGCCCCCUGUCCUAGAGCGGGUUCCUGCUUUACCCUUCCCCAGCCCCCUGUCCUAGAGCGGGUUCCACUCCUUCCCCAGCCCCCUGUCCUAGAGCGGGUUCCAGCCUGCUUUAUCCUUCCCCAGCCCCCUGUCCUAGAGCAGGUUCCUGCUUUACGGGGCGGCUGCCCUGGUGUUGAGCCACCUUGUAUUAGCCCUUCUGUGGCUCUUAGGACUUCAGGCUCUGGCGGCUGUGGAGGGGUGGUAUGUGUCUGCUUAAUUCUGUCCUGGCGUGCUGCUCCUGGGGCCUGGCCAGGCGGCAGGCCUUUUUUUCAGGUCAGCACUGAUGCUUGCAACACCAACUUGGGGGGGCCUUUCCUAGCCCCCCAGACUCAGCAGUAAUUUUGUGUUAAAUCCAUCUCUGACUUUUGUAAAUGCUUAAUUCAUUCAAAGAAAAGACUUUUCUAAGUCUUAUCUGGGAACAGGUCAGUUUGGUGCUCAUCGCGCCCAGAGCUAUGCUUCUGACAGUUUUCUUGCUCUUGGCCUUUGCUUUGGGAACUCCAGAUGGCCUGGAGUCUGCGGCUCAGGCAGGGCGGAGAUGGGGCCAGGGCCUUGUCUAGGGCUCCUUGGCUAUAUCUGGUGUCUUCCCUCACUUCCGAGUCAGUGCUUCUCGUUCUAGACCCUCCCUCCUCCCUGGCAGAUUUUCCUUCCAUGCUUUCCCCUCUCUUUCCAGAGCCUGAAACCAGAGAAGGAGAGGUGGGC
rnacentral:lncRNA from 1 species